AACGCACAUUGCGCCCUCUGGUAUUCCGGGGGGCAUGCCUGUUCGAGCGUCAUUUCACCACUCAAGCCUGGCUUGGUAUUGGGCGUCGCGGCUCCGCGCGCCUUAAAGUCUUCCGGCUGAGCUGUCCGUCUCUACGCGUUGUGGCAACUAUUCGCGUGGGAGGUCGGGUGGCCGCGGCCGUUAAAUCUUUCAAAGGUUGACCUCGGAUCAGGUAGGGAUACCCGCUGAACUUAA
rnacentral:misc_RNA from 2 species